GAAGAUGAUGAUAGCGUUGUCGUUCCUGGUUUGAUUUUCAUCUAUCUGUAGAUGCAAUGUGGUGAUUGACAUCUUAUUUCUGAUUC
rnacentral:snoRNA from 1 species